UCCUGACUGCUGCAGACGUUUGCAAGGGCAGGAAGGGACCACCUGUGCCAACGCUGUAGCUAGGAGCCGAACCACUGCAACACUGUGGCUCCAGAACCCAAUCCAGAGAGACUAUCCAGAAGGAUACCAUGUGCUGAGAAGUGCAAGAGAACCAUGAGAAGCACACUCUCUGUGACUCGCUCUUGGAAGAGGUCAUCCAUCAGAGCAACAAAGGAACUUUCCAGUCCAAAGCCAGACCCAAAGUCCCACAUAAAUGAUGCAGAUCCUUGAUUCUUUCCAAAAUCUACAUCAGCAGCACACCAUCCGGAGUUUCCAGGAAUUGAUCCACUGGUUCAGAAGACACACAGGGAUAUUUGUAUAUCAGAAUUCUUACUUUUGUGGUUGGCCCUCCAAAACAAAUAACCCCUGGUGGCCUCGUUUGAGGUGUGUGUGUGUGUGUGUGUGUGUGUGUGUGUGUGAGAGAGAGAGAGAGAGAGAGAGAGAGAAUGGAUGCAAGACAUGGAUGCAAAGACUGCUCUGCUGCUGAAUUUUUGGGUCUGUAAAUACACAUUUACCACAUUUACCACACUGGCUCUUGUUAUGAUGAUUCUCUUCAGCAUAUCAGCAUGUGCCAUUUAAUCCCCAGAAACUGAAUUGUUAGUGGAUAGGACAGGUGCCUUAAUCGAUGGUAAAGAAUUUUUGAAACAACCAAAUAGGAAUUUGACUAUUGCCCCCCCCCAAAUACCUGUUUUACUGGUUUGUUUUUCGUCCCCAUGUUGCUGCUCUGCCAAUAACAGAGCAAAAGAAAACAUGAAUUGAUGUUUAGCCCUGACUGACCCAUCAAAAGUGGAAUUGCAAUUUCCCCCUUGAACUUUUUCUACAUUUCUCCCAUUGCUCUACGUCCAUUUCCACAUAUAACCCAGACAUAACAGCCUCGGCAGCAAAGCACGCCACCACCAAAACAGCUACAUGCACAGUUUGGGUGUAACUUUGCAAUUGUAAUUUAAUAUCCCCAUAAUGGAUUUGGAUGAGAAAGGACACCUCUCAGAUCUGCAGUAGAUUCAGAAUUGGAAAGGAUUAAAACCCGAAGCAUUCAGAAUGGUCUUAACAAACGGGUUAGCUGGGUAGGCAGAAGCAGAAUGAAUCAAUGAGGACAAAUGUAAAAGGCAUGUGCAGGGAAAAUGAAGCAAAUAUACUGUCAGAAGCAGCUACAUUGCUUCUAUAAAAGAUAUAGGAGUUAUGGAGAGUAAGAAAUUGAGUAUGAGCCAACAGUGUGAUGCUGAGGCACAUAAGGCUAAUGCUAUGUUAAAUGCCCAGCCAAGUAGAGUCGCUGUCUCCUCUCUACUGAACCAGGAGGAAAAGAAGGAAAAGAUGCAGUCUGCACUGCAUUCCAUGAUCUGCAUUUGCCCUCCACCUUCCUGGUUUUCUCAUGCAAAAGCUCAUCCCUAAUACAAGAGACAGAAACUUGCCUGCAACAGCCUGGAAAGAACUGACUAGCUUAAUGCCUUCAUUAAUGAAGCCCUUUACUUUAGUUUCUCUCUUACUUUUCAAUGGCAAGUUGCACCCAUGCACUCAUUCAUCUAGAGCGUUUGUUAAUUUUUGUUGGAUGUAAUACAC